GAUGAGCGCUGGCGGCGUGCCUAAUACAUGCAAGUCGAACGGCAGCACGGGAGCAAUCCUGGUGGCGAGUGGCGAACGGGUGAGUAACGCGUCGGAACGUGCCCAGUCGUGGGGGAUAGCCCGGCGAAAGCCGGAUUAAUACCGCAUACGACCUGUGGGUGAAAGCGGGGGACCUUCGGGCCUCGCGCGAUUGGAGCGGCCGAUGUCAGAUCAGGUAGUUGGUGGGGUAAAGGCCCACCAAGCCGACGAUCUGUAGCUGGUCUGAGAGGACGACCAGCCACACUGGGACUGAGACACGGCCCAGACUCCUACGGGAGGCAGCAGUGGGGAAUUUUGGACAAUGGGCGCAAGCCUGAUCCAGCAAUGCCGCGUGCUGGAUGAAGGCCUUCGGGUUGUAAACUGCUUUUGUACGGAACGAAAAGCCCCGGGUUAAUACCCUGGGGUCAUGACGGUACCGUAAGAAUAAGCACCGGCUAACUACGUGCUAGCAGCCGCCGUAA
rnacentral:rRNA from 1 species